GAUGGAAUCUCUACUGCCUGCGGAGAUGGAAUAUCUACUGGCUCCGGAGAUGGAAUAUCUUCUGAUGGUUCUGGGGUUAAGACAUUUUGCUCAUCUGCCUCUUCUAUUUUCAUCAGCACACCUCUUCCAGUGUCAUCUUUUUUGCUCCAGUUCCAAGCUCCAUCUUCUACGAACUGCACAUCUCUGCUUACGAUGACUUCUCUGCUGACAGGAUUAUAAAGUAUAUAACCCUUAGUCCCUUCGCUGUAGCCAAUAAAGAU
rnacentral:lncRNA from 1 species